UACGUAGGCAGCAAGCGUUGUUCGGAGUUACUGGGCGUAACGGGUGCGUAGGCGGCCUUAUAAGUAUGGUGUGAAAUCUCCCGGCUUAACUGGGAGGGUGCGCUAUAGACUGUGGGGCUAGAGUGUGGGAGAGGAAAGUGGAAUUCCUGGUGUAGCGGUGAAAUGCGUAGAUAUCAGGAGGAACACCGGUGGUGUAAACGGCUUUCUGGACCAUAACUGACGCUGAGGCACGAAAGCGUGGGUAGCAACCAGG
rnacentral:rRNA from 1 species